UACGGAGGAUGCAAGCGUUAUCCGGAAUGAUUGGGCGUAAAGCGUCCGCAGGUGGCUAUGUAAGUCUGCUGUUAAAGAGUGAGGCUCAACCUCAUAAGAGCAGUGGAAACUACAUAGCUAGAGUGCGUUCGGGGCAGAGGGAAUUCCUGGUGUAGCGGUGAAAUGCGUAGAUAUCAGGAAGAACACCGGUGGCGAAAGCGCUCUGCCAGGCCGCAACUGACACUGAGGGACGAAAGCUAGGGGAGCGAAUGGG
rnacentral:rRNA from 1 species